GGGGUCUGUGUGCUCCCUGCUCUGGGGAGGGGGGGGCUCAUUCCCCACUGUGUCCCUUGUUGUUGCAGAGGUGCACGGCAUGGGCUGACCAUGAGCGCCAAGCUGGCACGGCUGGAGCAGCAGGAGCGUGCCUUCCUGGCUGCUAAACAACAUGGUGGGGGGGGGCAACACAUGGCCCCCCAGAGCAGCCCCCCAGCAGAGCUGCAGAGCCAGGAGGCGAACGGAGAAGAGGAGGAGGUAGGAGAGGAGGAGAGAGAGGAGAGGAGAAAGAAGAAGAAAAAGAGGAGGAAGGAGAAGGUGGACGAGGUGGUUGAGAUGGAGGUACCUCCAGAGGACACCGGUGGGCCAGAAGAGGCUGAGCACCACCCUGGGAUGGAGAGGAAGAAGAAGAAGAAGAAGAAGAGGCGGAGAGAGGCAGAAUGAAUGCAGCCACAUGACUGGGGGGGGUCCGGAGCCCCCUGUAGUGCAUUGAGUGUGCAGAAGGGUCUGGGGAGCUCUGUGUGCCCCAUGGAAUCUGCCUGCAGGCUGGGAACCCCAGCUCCCACCCAGCCCUGAGGAUGGGACCAGUUUGCCAUCAGCUCAUGGUGGAGCAGUGUGAGGCCAGAGCGAUGCGAGGGCAGAGCCUGCACAGUACCGGGUUCUUCAAAGGGUUUUUUGUCUUUUCUAAUACAUUUUUAUUGCAACCAAACAAUCCUGAAGUGUGAGACGCAGCCCUUGGUGCCUGGCUCUGUACCUGGAAGCACUCGAUGGGGCUCCGACCACCCCAGCACUGAGCCCCUACGGCAGCUGCAGGACGCACUCAGUGCCUGGGUACGGGGGGAGGUUGAGGCUGUACUUCUCCUGCAGCGCCGCGGGCACAAACCGUCCCCCCAGGAAGUGGUAGCGCCCCGAGAAAUGCACAGCUGCCUUCUUGGGGGCCGUCAGUGAGAUGAGCAUGUCGGGCCUCAGCCCAUCCGCCCGCCCCUUCUCCACAUCCCAGCCUGCAACACAGCCCGUGUUGGAGCACGCUGCAGUGUUGCAAAUGCAGUGUGCUUCUCUCCCCUUCCCUCCCCCUCCCAGCAGUGGGUCUGUCCGUACUCACCUGAGGGGAUGUCGAUGCUGGCGAUGGGCACCGUGACGCUCUGCAGGGUGCUGAGGAUGCUCCCAAAUGGCUCCCGCACCGCUCCCUUAAAGCUGAACCCAAAGAUGGCAUCCACCACCAGCCCAUACAGCCCAUCGAUGAGCGCAGCCUGCGGCGGGGGGAGGAGCAGUGUGGGGUGAGGAAUGGCAAUGGGGUUAGAUCCAGCAGCAUGGUAAGGAUGGGCAGUGGGGUGAGGAGCAGUGUGGGGUGAGGAGCAACAUGGGGUGAGAAGUAGUGUAGGGUGAGGAGCAAUAUGGGGUGAGAAGCAGUGUGGGGUGAGGACCAGUAGGGUGAGGAGCAAUA
rnacentral:lncRNA from 1 species